CUUAUCUGAAAAUUCGGGUUACACUUAACUAGAUAUGCAGCGAGUCUGUAGUUGGUCUUCGGUUCGUAAAGCACUGUAAGUUGUGAGGAAGGGUUGUAGGCUCAUACGGUGCAAUUCUGACGUUUCCAUGACAAUAAGCCCCGGCACAUUUCGUUGCAGCAGCCGCGGUAAUACGAAGGGUGCAAGCGUUAAUCGGAAUUACUGGGCGUAAAGCGCGCGUAGGUGGUUCGUUAAGUUGGAAGUGAAAGCCCCGGGCUUAACCUGGGAAUUGCUUUCAAAACUGACGAGCUAGAGUACGGUAGAGGGUAGUGGAAUUUCCUGUGUAGCGGUGAAAUGCGUAGAUAUAGGAAGGAACACCAGUGGCGAAGGCGACUACCUGGACUGAUACUGACACUGAGGUGCGAAAGCGUGGGGAGCAAACA
rnacentral:rRNA from 1 species